AUUGAACGCUGGCGGCAGGCCUCACACAUGCAAGUCGAACGAGCGGCGGACGGGUGAGUAAUGUCUGGGAAACUGCCUGAUGGCGGGGGAUAACUACUGGAAACGGUAGCUAAUACCGCAUACCAUCAGAUGUGCCCAGAUUGGAUUAGCUUGUUGGUGGGUUAAUGGCUCACCAAGGCGACGAUCCCUAGCUGGUCUGAGAGGAUGACCAGCCACUAUGGAACUGAGACACGGUCCAGACUCCUACGUGAGGCAGCAGUGGGGAAUAGUGCACAAUGUGCGCAAGCCUGAUGCAGCCAUGUCGCGUGUAUGAAGAAGGCCUUAGGGUUGUAAAGUACUUGCAGCGGGGAGGCGUUACCCGCAGAAGAAGGACCGGCUAACUCCGUGCCAGCAGCCGCGGUAAUAC
rnacentral:rRNA from 1 species